UACGGGGGGAGCAAGCGUUGUUCGGAUUUACUGGGCGUAAAGGGCGCGUAGGCGGUAGCACAAGUCAGUUGUGAAAUCUCCGGGCUUAACUCGGAAAGGUCAACUGAUACUGUGCGACUAGAGUGCAGAAGGGGCAACUGGAAUUCUCGGUGUAGCGGUGAAAUGCGCAGAUAUCAGGAAGAACACCCGUGGCGAAGGCGGCUCUCUGGGACGGUACUGACGCUGAGACGCGAAAGCGUGGGGAGCGAACAGG
rnacentral:rRNA from 1 species